rnacentral:rRNA from 1 species
GACGAACGCUGGCGGCGUGCUUAACACAUGCAAGUCGAACGGAAAGGCCCUGGUUGCAGGGUACUCGAGUGGCGAACGGGGGAGUAACACGUGGGUGAUCUGCCCUGCAGUUCGGGAUAAGGCUGGGAAACUGGGUCUAAUACCGGAUAGGAGCCAUUUUUAGUGUGAUGGUUGGAAAGUUUUUUCGGUGUAGGAUGAGCUCGCGGCCUAUCAGCUUGUUGGUGGGGUAAUGGCCUACCAAGGCGACGACGGGUAGCCGGCCUGAGAGGGUGGACGGCCACAUUGACACUGAGAUGCCGCCCAAACGCCUCCAUGAGACAGCAGGUGAGAAUAAUUCACAAUGGGCGCAAGCCUGAUGCAGCGACCCCGCUUGGGGGAUGACGGCCUUCGGGUUGUAAACUCCUUUCGCUAGGGACGAAACUUUUUGUAACGGUACCUAGAUAAGAAGCACCGGCUAACUACGUG